AUAAAGGUUAAAAGGCUUUUAUAAAUCAAAGGGACGAUAAGACCCUAUAAAACUUUACUAUAGUUAAGUUAUUUUAGGUUGUUAUUAUACUAUAGUUUAACUGGGGCGGUUGAAAUACAAACAAUUAUAGUAUAAAUAUAUUGAAUAGAGAUUUAGAACUCCUAAUGGAAAUAAACAAGUUACUUUAGGGAUAACAGCAUAAUUCUCUCAKAUARUCCUAAUUGGCGAGAGAGCUUAUGACCUCGAUGUUGAAUUGGGGUGUCUAAUAUAAGCAAAAAUAUAUUAAGAGAGUCUGUUCGACUUUUAAACCCCC
rnacentral:rRNA from 1 species